rnacentral:rRNA from 1 species
UGAGGAAUAUUGGACAAUGGGCGAAAGCCUGAUCCAGCCAUGCCGCGUGCAGGAAGAAGCAUCUAUGGUGUGUAAACUGCUUUUGUACGGGAAGAAACACUCCUUCGUGAAGGAGCUUGACGGUACCGUAAGAAUAAGGAUCGGCUAACUCCGUGCCAGCAGCCGCGGUAAUACGGAGGAUCCAAGCGUUAUCCGGAAUCAUUGGGUUUAAAGGGUCCGUAGGCGGUUUAGUAAGUCAGUGGUGAAAGCCCAUCGCUCAACGAUGGAACGGCCAUUGAUACUGCUAGACUUGAAUUACAAGGAAGUAACUAGAAUAUGUAGUGUAGCGGUGAAAUGCUUAGAUAUUACAUGGAAUACCAAUUGCGAAGGCAGGUUACUACUUGUGGAUUGACGCUGAUCGACGAAAGCGUGGGGAGCAAACA